UUAGGAGCCUCAUCCAGGGCCCUGAACACCUAACCCAUCUGGAACAAUGGGACGUGGGAUUUCUCAACUCUCCUUUUGGAUCUGUCGCCUUCAAUAAAGAACAAGAUCAUGGAUAAUUUCUUCCCCACUAUGAGUAGGGACAGGGACUAUCCCAUUUGGAACUUGACUGAAAAUGGCAUGUUUUCGUGUGUCAGUGCUUCUAACCACCAAUCAAAUGCGAGCAAUAUCUUUUCCUGGAUUUGGAAACUGAAGAUCCCUCCCAAAAUUAAGCACUUUCUAUGGCUUAGCAACCACAACAGGCUCCCUUGUUCCAAUACUAUUAGGAAUAUGGGAUCCCCAUUAAUCAAUAAUGCAAGGUCUGCCGACUGCCAUCACCCAUGUGAGGACGUUCCCCAUGUCUUCUGAUUUUGUCCCGACACUGCCCAUCUCUGGAAUGAGCUCAUCACUCGAUGUGCAUAUCCCAUCCCAUCAUAUCCUUUCACCCAUGGAUUGAACAACUGGAGCUCUAUCCAUAACAAACCUUUCGACGAGUUCAUAAACAUGGACACUCUUCUAUCCUUCUGUUUGUGUCCACGUCUGAAAAAUCAGAAAUGAGAUGUUCUACAACUCUUGCGCUCAAAGACUUUCAAAUUACAAAUUAUGCCCUACGGGCAAGAGUUGACGUUACCACGUUAUGUCUUUAUUUAUGAGAUUUCUACCACUCUUGUCUUAGAGGCAAGACUUGACUCAAAACCUUUCAAACUACAAAUUAUGCCCCACAGGCAAGAGUUGACACUACCACGUUAUGUAUUCAUUUAUGAGAUGUUCUACAAUUCUUGCUCUCAAAGACUUUCAAACUACAAAUUAUACCCUACAGGCAAGAGUUGACGUUACCACGUUAUGUCUUUAUUUAUGAGAUGUUCUACAACUCUUGCCUUAGAGGCAUGACUUAACACAAAGAAUUUCAAACUACAUAUUACGUCCCAUGGGCAAGAGUUGACACUAACACGUUAUGUCUUCAUUUAUGAAAUGUUCUAUAACUCUUGCCUUAGAGUCAAGACUUUAGCUCAAGAACUUUCAAAUAAUAAAUUAUGCCCCAUGGGCAAGAGUUGACACUACCACGUUAUGUCUUCAUUUAUGGGAUGUUCUACAACUCUUGCCUUAGAGGCAAGACUUAACUCAAGAACUUUCAAAUAAUAAAUUAUGCCCCAUGGGCAAGAGUUGACACUACCACGUUAUGUCUUCAUUUAUGAGAUGUUCUACAACUCUUGCCUUAGAGGCAAGACUUAGCUCAAGGACUUUCAAAUAAUAAAUUAUGCCCCACGAGCAAGAGGUGACACUACCACUUAUUUAUGAGAUAUUCUACAACUCUCAUUUUAGAGACACGACUUAUCUCAAAAAAUUUCGAAGAACUUCGUAACAACAAUUCAUGUCCUUAAAUUUUCUUUGAUGUAAAAAAAAGGAUUUCUUUGCGGAUUAUCUAAUUUUUUAUUUAUUAGCAAAAUAUAAUAGAAGUUGAGAAAAAAGAAAAAAC
rnacentral:lncRNA from 1 species